rnacentral:rRNA from 1 species
AGUCGAGCGAGAUUCCAGUGAUCAAGUCUUCGGACAAGUGAUCUGGAUGACAGCGGCGAAAAGGUGAGUAAUGCGCGGGUAAUCUACCUUUAAGUUGGGGAUACCCCCGGGAAACUGGGGAUAAUACCGAAUGUGAUGAGCUUCCGCAUGGAAGUGAAUUCAAAGGCGGGUCGAAAGACCUGUCGCUUAAAGAUGAGCCCACGUCCUAUCAGCUUGUUGGUGAGGUAACGGCUCACCAAGGCUUACGGGUAGCCGACCUGAGAGGGUGAUCGGCCACACUGGGACUGAGACACUGCCCAGACUCCUACGGGAGGCUGCAGUCGAGAAUCUUGGACAAUGCGCGAAAGCGUGAUCCAGCGACGCCGCGUGGAGGACGAAGGCCUUCGGGUCGUAAACUCCUGUUGUUAGGGAGCAACCGGUAGCGGGCUAAUACCUCGUUACCCUGAUAGUACCUGACGAGAAAGCCACGGCUAACUCUGUGCCAGCAGCCGCGGUAAUACAGAGGUGGCAAGCGUUGUUCGGAUUUACUGGGCGUAAAGGGUGCGUAGGAGGUCGUGUGUGUCGGAUGUGAAAUCCCACUGUUCAUCGGUGGAACUGCAUUCGAAACUACAUGACUAGAGUGCAGAGAGGAGAGCGGAAUUCACGGUGUAGCGGUGAAAUGCGUUGAGAUCGUGAGGAACGCCGGUGGCGAAGGCGGCUCUCUGGACUGUAACUGACUCUGAGGCACGAAAGAUGGGGGAGCAAACAGGAUUAGAUA